UACUAGAGUAGCACUCGCAUAUCAAUAAGCGGAGGAAAAGAAACUAACAAGGAUUCCCCUAGUAACGGCGAGUGAAGCGGGAAGAGCUCAAAUUUGAAAUCUUAAAGGGUUUCCCUUUACGAAUUGUAGUUUAAAGAAGUGUUUUCUGUUGAGGUUUUGGUAAAAGUUCUUUGGAAUAGGACAUCAUAGAGGGUGAGAAUCCCGCUAUUUGACCUUUACUUUCAACUUUGUGAUACACUUUCAAAGAGUCGGAUUGUUUGGGAAUGCAGUCCAAAAUGGGUGGUAAAUUUCAUCUAAAGCUAAAUAUUGGCGAGAGACCGAUAGCGAACAAGUACCGUGAGGGAAAGAUGAAAAGAACUUUGAAAAGAGAGUUAAACAGUACGUGAAAUUGUCAAAAGGGAAGCGUUUGACACCAGUGUUGUUUUUCUGAAAAUCAAUUAAAGAACUGUUUAUGCUAAGCUGUUUAGACUUUAUCAGCUAACUGUUUAGUUUUGAGCUUUUCUUUAAUGCACUUUUCAGUUAACAAGUCAACAUCAAUUUCUUUUGCUGUAAAAAAGCUUGAGGAAGGUGGCUUGAGAUUCGUCUUAAGUGUUUAUAGCCUCUUGCCUAUGCAGUCGGAGAGAUUGAGGUCUGCAGCGUAGAUCCUUCGGGGCUAAAUGCAUUUGUGCUAAGUUAUAGCAUUUUAUAGACAACUUGUUGACUAUGAUUUGUCUUGUAGCUUACUCGCUUAUGUUAUUUUACCUACGCUUAGGAUGUUGAUCUCUCACAGUCGAGC
rnacentral:rRNA from 1 species